AGCGAACGCUGGCGGCGUGCCUAACACGUGCAAGUCGAACGUGAAAGGGAGCAAUCCCAAGUAAAGUGGCGUACGGGUGAGUAACACGUAGGUAAUCUACCCCAGAAUCUGGAAUAACCGGCCGAAAGGCUGGCUAAUACUGGAUAGAGCGACGGAAUCCGUAAUUGGGUUUUUCGGGAAAGGGAGCCUGUAAAAAGGCCUUCGUUCUGGGAUGAGCCUGCGUCCCAUCAGCUAGUUGGUGAGGUAAAAGCUUACCAAGGCAAUGACGGGUAGCUGGUCUGAGAGGACGAUCAGCCACACUGGAACUGAAACACGGUCCAGACUCCUACGGGAGGCAGCAGUGGGGAAUCUUGCGCAAUGGACGAAAGUCUGACGCAGCAACGCCGCGUGAGUGAAGAAGGCCGUCGGGUUGUAAAGCUCUGUCGAGUGGGACGAAAAUGCUUGGAGUUCACAGCUCCAGGAACUGACGGUACCACUAAAGGAAGCACCGGCUAACUCCGUG
rnacentral:rRNA from 1 species